GGUUAACAGAGCCCUGGUUGAAUAAAGGCCUGUUAGUAAAAGUGGCUUUGAAUACAAACGAGAAGAUGUCAUCUAGACUUUUAUUUUGAAAAGGCACGCUGCUGCCGAGAGCCAUGUGACUAGUAACAGCCAACCAUGUCGCGGUGACCUCUCUGGUUCAAGAGGAGGAAGAUGCAGAGGCAGGCUGCGCCUCUCCUUCAUCCCCCCGGUUACAUCGCUGGCAGUCCAGGAAACAGAAAGGGACCGACAUUUACAGCUGAAGUUUUUUUUUUUUGCACAGAUGGCAACUCACUGUGAUAGACCCCAAACAGCUGGCACAUAAUUUGUCCUUCCUUGGAUAAGCUGUAAUGUUGUUUAUGAAUUUCCUAUCGUAGUCAUUAUUCUGAAGGUUAUUAGUGCAUCAAUUUUUGGAUGCAUUUUGUGGAGUAUUUGCCCUGUGGGGUGUCUUUUGCAUUGAACAUUUAAAAUCUGGUAUUAGGGGGACGUGGUGGGUAGCGCUACCCACCAGUGGUGCAGUCAAUAAUGCAUGACAGUGGCACGGUGGUAGCGCAGUUGUCUCAGAGUGAGAAGGUUUCGGGUUCGGGACAUGUUUUCUUCAGGUAGUUUGGCUUCCUGCUAGUGUCCAAAGGAAUGUGGUUUAGGUUGAUUGCUGCGGGUAGGAGAGAGAGAUUUUGAGGGGGGCUGCACCCUCUGAGCCUUUUGGACGGGCCCUGCCUGGCCUUCAACCGCUCAGUGCUGUGCGUUCAGAGGGGCUGCUCCCUCUGAGCCUUUUGGACGGGCCGUGCCUGGCAGCCUGGCCUCCAUCCGCUCAGUGCUGCGUGUUCAGGGGGGCUGCUCCCUCUGAGCGUUUUGGACGGGCCCUGCCUGGCCUUCAACUGCUCAGUGCUGCGUGUUCAGGGGGGCUGCUCCCUCUGAGCCUUUUGGACGGGCCGUGCCUGGCAGCCUGGCCUCCAACCGCUCAGUGCUGCACGUCCAGGGGGGCUGCUCCCUCUGAGCGUUUUGGACAGGCCGUGCCUGGCCUUCGCCGCUCAGUGCUGCGCGUCCAGGGGGGCUGCUGCGGGGCAGCUUGGCCUUCGCUGCUCAGUGCUGCUCAUCUCCUGCAGUCAGCAGCACCUUUAGUCUGUGUUCAUAGAAUCGGAAGAAUCAGCUCAGUGUUCAUAGAGCAUCAGAGGAGGACAGGACUUGGCAUAUGCAUGAUUGGCAGAGCAUUCAUCCUCCCCCAUUUGAAUGAAGGAUGGCUUAUGACUCAGGUCUGUGGAAGCUGCUGGGAAAAGCAUUAGCGCCGUGACUGUGCAUUCAAAUGUGUCUAUCAGAAUUUACACUGACAUUUGCACAGUACAAGCAAACCUUUAAACCUGGCAAUCUGUUUCUGUGCUGUCGAAGUUGCAGUGCUGCAGACAUUGUGGUGAAAUGUUAAGUGCAGUACUUAUAAGGAUUUAUGAGGACUGGGAGAAUCCAGGUUACUUUUAAAAGGUUUGGAAAAUAGCACUGCGUCAUGACAGGAUAUUAGUCAUGUGCUAAUGCAUGACAGUUUUCUAUAGAGAUGUCUAAAGGCUCAGUGCCUACUGCAGGGUGGACAGUAAAAGUAACUACCAUGUCCAUUUCCAAACUUCUCAUCCAAGACAAAGGAUGGUUACAUCAGAUGCUGUGCCUCAGUAAAAGGUGAAACUGUUUAUGACAUUACUCAGAACAGAUUGUCUCUCCUGUUCAUCAAAAUCCUGCUCUCUGCCAGACAACGGAAACUGCUGGAGAGCUUCAGUCAAAGCCAAAUUCCUAUUAGAAGAAGAGCUGCCGUUUUUAUUCGGCCUGAGCACAGCGUGAGUUUAUAUGUAGUCAGCUGCCACUGAUACGCUAAAUCAUCAAUUAGUAUAAUGAGAAACAGGCAGCAAUGUUUAUUUUCAGUCACGUCUCACCAGUGUGAGUGUGAAAACAAAUGGACAAACGUGGAAAAGGUGAACAGCACAAACUCCUGAGUGAAGCUCAUCUCCUAGAGAUCAGUGAUACUGAAUGCCUCCAGAGAAAAUGUGGAGAAUCUCCCCAGGUUGUUGACUGGCCCAGCACAGGCCUGACUCAGAGGACACAUCAAUAACUAGGACCAACAAAUAGACAGGAUUUUGCCAAAGUGACAUGAUGCUCACUGCUGAUUUCCCAGAACCAGCAUUAAAAGAAAAUGCUUCCAUUUGGUCUUUAGGUCAGAGUGACCAGACAAACAGAGCAAAAUAAAUCCUAUUUGAGUUUAG